CCUGAUAGCUCCAUUGGUAGAGAAUCUGCCUGCAAUGCAGGAGACCCUGGUUCGAUUCCUGGGUCAGGA
rnacentral:tRNA from 1 species